rnacentral:rRNA from 1 species
CCCUUAGACGUUCUGGGCCGCACGCGCGCUACACUGACCGGUGCAACAAGCAUCCGUCCUUGGCCGACAGGCCCGGGCAAUCUUUGAACGCCGGUCGUGAUGGGGAUAGACUUUUGCAAUUUUUGGUCUUCAACGAGGAAUUCCUAGUAAACGCAAGUCAUCGACUUGCAUUGAUUACGUCCCUGCCCUUUGUACACACCGCCCGUCGCACCUACCGAUUGAAUGGUCCGGUGAAGCCUCCGGAUUGGCGCGCACCUCGGUGCCGCCGAGAAGUUGGCUAAACCUUACCAUUUAGAGGAAGGUGAAGUCGUAACA